rnacentral:rRNA from 1 species
UACGGGAGGCAGCAGUGGGGAAUAUUGCACAAUGGGCGAAAGCCUGAUGCAGCUAUGCCGCGUGUAUGAAGAAGGCCUUAGGGUUGUAAAGUACUUUCAUCGGGGAGGAAAAAACAAAACUAAUAAUUUUAUUUCUUGACGUUACCCGAAAAAGAAGCACCGGCUAACUCCGUGCCAGCAGCCGCGGUAAUACGGAGGGUGCUAGCGUUAAUCAGAAUUACUGGGCGUAAAGAGCACGUAGGUGGUUUUUUUUAAGUCAGAUGUGAAAUCCCUGGGCUUAACCCUAGGAACUGCAUUUUGAAACUGAAAUACUAGAGUAUCGUAGAGGGAGGUAGAAUUCUAGGUGUAGCGGUGAAAUGCGUAGAUAUCUGGAGGAAUACCUGUGGCGAAAGCGGCCUCCUAAACGAAUACUGACACUGAGGUGCGAAAGCGUGGGGAGCAAACAGGGAUUAGAUACC